GUGUCAGCAGCCGCGGUAAUACGUAGGGGGCGAGCGUUAUCCGGAUUUACUGGGUGUAAAGAGCGCGUAGGCGGUUCCGUAAGUUGGUUGUGAAAGUUCGAGGCUCAACCUCGAAACUGCGUCCAAUACUGCGGGGCUGGAGUGCAAGAGAGGCAAGUGGAAUUUCGCAUGUAGUAGUGAAAUGCGUAGAUAUGCGAAGGAACACCAGUGGCGAAGGCGGCUUGCUAGCUUGUAACUGACGCUGAGGCGCGAAAGCUAGGGGAGCGAACGGGAUUAGAUACCCCAGUAGUCC
rnacentral:rRNA from 1 species